rnacentral:rRNA from 1 species
UACGUAGGGUGCAAGCGUUGCCCGGAAUCACUGGGCGUAAAGGGUGCGUAGGCGGGUCUUUAAGUCAGGGGUGAAAUCCUGGAGCUCAACUCCAGAACUGCCUUUGAUACUGAAGAUCUUGAGUUCGGGAGAGGUGAGUGGAACUGCGAGUGUAGAGGUGAAAUUCGUAGAUAUUCGCAAGAACACCAGUGGCGAAGGCGGCUCACUGGCCCGAUACUGACGCUGAGGCACGAAAGCGUGGGGAGCAAACAGG